ACACCCUGACACCACACUCAACACACUCAACAUACACACCACACUGACACACAAAACAUACACCACACAACACCACAUUCACACCCACACUCACACCACACUCAACACACACAUUCACACAUACCACACACACCACACUCAACAUACAUACCACACACCUCACUGACACACAAAACACACCACACAACACACCACAUUCACACUCACACGCACAUCACACUCACCACACUCACACAUUCUCACACACCACAUUCCACACACCACAUUCAACACACACACCACACACACUACACACUCACACUAAACACACCACAUUCGCACCCACACACACAC
rnacentral:lncRNA from 1 species